rnacentral:rRNA from 1 species
UACGAAGGGGGCUAGCGUUGCUCGGAAUCACUGGGCGUAAAGGGUGCGUAGGCGGUUUGGUAAGUCUGAUGUGAAAUCUAUGGGCUCAACUCAUAGUCUGCAUCGGAAACUGCCGGGCUUGAGUAUGGGAGAGGUGAGUGGAAUUCCUGGUGUAGCGGUGAAAUGCGUAGAUAUCAGGAGGAACACCUGUGGCGAAAGCGGCUCACUGGACCAUAACUGACGCUGAUGCACGAAAGCUAGGGGAGCAAACGGG